UCCCUGAUAGCUCAGUUGGUAGAGCAAUCGGCUGUUAACCGAUCGGUCGUAGGUUCGAGUCCUACUCAGGGAG
rfam:Clostridiales bacterium S5-A11 contig009, whole genome shotgun sequence.